CCAAGGAGUCUAGCAUGUGCGCGAGUCAUUGGGUUUCGCUAAACCUAAAGGCGGAAUGAAAGUGAAGGCAGCCUCGGGUUUGCCCAGGUAGGAUCCAGGUCCAUCUGGGCUUGGCGCACUACCGGCCCGUCGCGUCCGCUCUGCGGUGCGGCGGAGCAAGAGCGUACACGCUGGGACCCGAAAGAUGGUGAACUAUGCCUGAGUAGGACGAAGCCAGAGGAAACUCUGGUGGAAGUCCGUAGCGGUUCUGACGUGCAAAUCGAUCGUCGAACUUGGGUAUAGGGGCGAAAGACUAAUCGAACCAUCUA
rnacentral:rRNA from 1 species